rnacentral:rRNA from 1 species
GCAAGUCGUACGAGAACGCUUCAGCUUGCUGAAGUUAGUAAAGUGGCGCACGGGUGAGUAACGCGUGGGUAAUCUACCCCCGAAUUGGGGAUAACAUCGCGAAAGCGAUGCUAAUACCGAAUGAUAUCUUGAAAACUCUGUUUUCUGGAUCAAAGAUGGCCUCUACAUGUAAGCUAUUGUUUGGGGAUUAGCCCGCGUACCAUUAGCUUGUUGGUGGGGUAAUGGCCUACCAAGACGAUGAUGCAUAGCCGACCUGAGAGGGUGAUC